AGGUGGGAAAAGGAGGAACCAAGGGAGGGAAGCGGCGAGGGUGAGGGAAUGAAUAGAUAAACCUGAAAUUGCAAAAUCGUAAUUUGGAGCGCAUUGCAUUGCAUUGCCAUUCAUUUUCCCUUCUUCCAAUUGCAGCGAAGGAGAGAGAGAGAGAGAGAGAGAGAGAGAGAGAGAGAGGUUUAGUCAAUUAGGGUUAGAGAAAGAAGAACAAAGAGAGUGUGGUGAGAGUGUGGAUGGGGAAGGAAGAAGAGGAAAUGAGGGGAGAGAUAGAGGAAAGACUGAUAAACGAAGAGUACAAAAUUUGGAAGAAGAACAGUCCCUUCCUCUACGAUCUCGUCAUAACCCACGCGCUCGAGUGGCCGUCACUCACCGUCGAAUGGCUCCCCGACCGCCACGAACCCCCAGGCAAAGACUAUUCCCUCCAAAAAGUGAUACUCGGAACCCACACCUCAGAGAAUGAGCCCAAUUACCUCAUGCUCGCCCAAGUUCAAUUACCCCUCGACGACGCCGAGAACGACGCCCGCCACUACGACGACGACCGCCCCGACGUCGGUGGCUUCGGCUGCGCCAACGGCAAGGUUCAGAUCAUUCAACAGAUCAAUCAUGACGGCGAGGUUAACCGCGCCCGUUACAUGCCCCAAAACCCUUUUAUUAUUGCUACUAAGACCGUUAGUGCUGAAGUUUUCGUCUUUGAUUAUAGCAAGCAUCCCUCUAAGCCUCCCCUUGAUGGGGCUUGUAACCCUGAUUUGAGGCUUAGGGGUCAUAACACUGAAGGGUAUGGCCUGUCCUGGAGCAAGUUCAAGCAGGGGCAUUUGCUUAGUGGUUCUGAUGAUGCUCAGAUUUGCUUGUGGGAUAUUAAUGCUUCUCCUAAGAAUAAGACUCUUGAGGCUACGCAGAUUUUUAAGGUGCAUGAGGGUGUCGUGGAGGAUGUGGCUUGGCAUUUGAGGCAUGAGUAUUUGUUUGGCUCUGUUGGGGAUGAUCAGUACUUGCUCAUAUGGGACCUUCGAACGCCGUCUGUUAGCAAGCCUGUUCAGUCUGUUGUUGCUCAUCAAAGUGAGGUUAACUGCUUGGCUUUUAAUCCCUUUAAUGAAUGGGUUGUUGCCACUGGUUCUACGGAUAAAACUGUGAAGUUGUUUGAUCUGCGGAAGAUCAGUACUCCCCUUCACAACUUUGACUGUCACAAGGAGGAGGUUUUCCAGGUUGGCUGGAAUCCAAAGAAUGAGACUAUCUUGGCUUCUUGUUGCCUUGGUAGGAGACUCAUGGUGUGGGAUCUUAGCAGGUAUUGCUUGAUAAAAGCAUUGUCGUCCCUGGAGGUUUUAAUGGAUUAAUUACUGUUUGUUGUCCGGAAAUGUUUACUGAGUCAUGGUACCGUAGUGAAAUUGUUAUGGUUGAUAAAGCCUAAAGCAUAUUACUGAUGCUUCCCCUAAAGUUAUAUGUUUGCUAUACUUUGUUCUAUAGUUCAUUUAAGCCAUUUUGACCAAGUUGUCACGAGCAAGGUGGUUAAAAUCAUGUGCUGGGUCAUAGGAUUGUGCGAUUCAAUGAUCCUGGGUGGCCUGAGUCUGCUGGCUUGUACGCAGACACAGGAUCACAAAAGCUGGAGCAUGAAAUUGCUUGGAAUGGACAAUCCCACCAUGUUUAGAAAAGCCUGGAUACUUUAGCCUGAGCUAUUUUGGGUGACCUGGUUGGAAAAUUAUGUACGAGGGUCCUAAAUCAACCCUGGGACUCCAUGAACAGGACCCUAAAACACGAUUUGUAGCCUCUCAGCUAAUGCUCCAUUCUCUGAUCACCCAUCCUUUGAUGCUGGGGAUGGUGCUGGUUGUUACUACCCUUCUUCUAUCUGUGUUCUCAAUUGUUUUUUAUUUCAUUCUGUCCUUUAUAUCCAGUUGCAACUUGUCUGGUCCUUUUUUUUUCCGAUCAGCACAAUAUCUCUACAGUUUUCUAGGUGCAGGCUGGGUCGUGUACGAUGGCCAAGCUUUAAUGGCUUUCACAUCAAGAGUUUCGUUAGAAUUUUAAAAUCCAUUCCUAGGUCUAAUAGGUUCGUGUCUGUUUAGGGGGAAAAAGCUUGCUUAGAAUUUAGGUUGCUCUCAUCUGUUGGUUAGUGUUUACAGUUUCAUACGCUAAAUUUUUUGACCCAUAUGGGUGAAUCGGGGUCUGCAUGCCACUUGGGUGACAGCUCCUUUGUUCAAGAGAAUUAAUUGGACAACAAUUUAUCUGUCUGCACCCUUGGAUGGCUCCUUUCAUUCCUCUGAAUGUAGAUGACCAUUGAGGAUUGAGGACUGAGGACUGAUUUACGGAUUGAUGAAGAGCAGUCACCAGAGGAUGCCGAAGAUGGUCCACCAGAAUUGCUAUUUAUUCAUGGUGGUCAUACAAGCAAAAUAUCUGACUUUUCUUGGAAUCCAUGCGAAGAUUGGGUUGUUGCUAGUGUCGCUGAAGAUAACAUACUUCAAAUAUGGCAGAUGGCAGAGAACAUAUACCAUGACGAAGAUGAUCUGCCAGAAGAGUCAACAAAGGCUGCCUCCUGAUGUAAUUGUUCGUUGUGAUAGUGUAGUGUGCAAUAUAGGUGGAGUGUUUGGGAUUUGGGGAGCUUUUCCAUAUUUGUAUUCGUGCCGUUACUCCUUUUUUCAUCUCUUACUUGUAGCUGUGUUUUUGUAUGGUAUAAACUAUGACUGCCUUAACCAGUAGCAUGCUGAACAAUCGAGACCUAGGUGUAACUUCAUGGUAAGGUUUCCCAUUUAAGUUCUCCAAAUACCUAUGUCCAGUUGUUCUCGCGAUUAUAAUCUAUCCUACUUACAGCUGUGCAUUAUCAUUUAUUUUUUAAGUUUGCACUUUGGAGAUACUUUUGUUGUCAGAAUUUGUAGGCCACUUGGAUCCCAGCAAUUCUAUAGU